rnacentral:rRNA from 1 species
GACGAACGCUGGCGGCGUGCUUAACACAUGCAAGUCGAGCGGAGCGGCGAACGGGUGAGUAACGUGUUAGUAACUUCCCCCCUCUCUGGGAUAACAGUUGGAAACGGCUGCUAAUUCCGGCAAUUGGGGGCUGACUCGCGUCCUAUCAGCUUGUUGGUGGGGUAGUGGCUUACCAAGGGGACGACGGGUAGCCGGCCUGGGAGGGCGACCGGCCACAAUGGGCUGAGAUACGGCUCAAAGUGCAACGGGAGGCAGCAGUGGAGAAUAUUGCACAGUGGGGAAAACCAUGAGGAAGCGACGCGCGUGGGGGAUGACGGCUUUCGGGUUGUAAACCGCUUUAAGCCAGUACGCGGUAGUGGCAGAAGAAGCACCGGCUAACUACGUGCCAGCCGCCGCGGUAAUAA